rnacentral:lncRNA from 11 species
CUCCGGGGCUUUUAAUCCGCUCCUCAAGUGCGGCAGGGGCAGCAGCAGCAACAGGCAUCCCAACUUUCUUCCUUUUCUUUCCCUGCCUCUGGGAGAAAAGUAGCAGCAGCAGAACCUUUUUCCAGACUUGGAGUUUCCACAAAAAAAUGGCAAAUGUAAAGGCAGCAGGAAGGGAAGAGAGAUAAUAACAAGAAAUCUGCUUGUGUGCACAUGUGUAUAUCAGCAUCAGUGCUUAUGAAGUCCAGCACAUCUUGGAG